GACGAACGCUGGCGGCGCGCCUAACACAUGCGAGUCGAACGGAGCUGAGAGAAGCUUGCUUUUCUUAGCUUAGUGGCGAACGGGUGAGUAACGCGUGAGUAACCUGCCCUGGAGUGGGGGACAACAGUUGGAAACGACUGCUAAUACCGCAUAAGCCCACGAUCCGGCAUCGGAUUGAGGGAAAAGGAUUUAUUCGCUUCAGGAUGGACUCGCGUCCAAUUAGCUAGUUGGUGAGGUAACGGCCCACCAAGGCGACGAUUGGUAGCCGGACUGAGAGGUUGAACGGCCACAGUGGGACUGAGACACGGCCCAGACUCCUACGGGAGGCAGCAGUGGGGGAUAUUGCACAAUGGGGGAAACCCUGAUGCAGCGACGCCGCGUGGAGGAAGAAGGUUUUCGGAUUGUAAACUCCUGUCGUGAGGGACGAUAAUGACGGUACCUAACAAGAAAGCACCGGCUAACUACGUG
rnacentral:rRNA from 1 species